rnacentral:rRNA from 1 species
AUACGUAGGUGGCGAGCGUUGUCCGGAAUUACUGGGCGUAAAGGGUGCGUAGGCGGAAUCUUAAGUCAGAUGUGAAAACCCAGGGCUUAACUUUGGGAUUGCAUUUGAAACUGAGGUUCUAGAGUGCAGGAGAGGGAAGCGGAAUUCCUAGUGUAGCGGUGAAAUGCGUAGAUAUUAGGAAGAACACCAGUGGCGAAGGCGGCUUUCUGGACUGUAACUGACGCUGAGGCACGAAAGCGUGGGGAGCAAACAGGAUUAGAUACCCUGGUAGUCCACGCCGUAAACGAUGAGUGCUAGGUGUAGGGGGCGUAGGCCUUCUGUGCCGCAGCAAACGCAAUAAGCACUCCGCCUGGGGAGUACGGUCGCAAGACUAAA